UCCGUAGGGUGCGAGCGUUGUCCGGAAUUAUUGGGCGUAAAGAGCUCGUAGGCGGUUUGUCGCGUCGACUGUGAAAACCUGGGGCUCAACUCUGGGCCUGCAGUCGAUACGGGCAGACUUGAGUUCGGUAGGGGAGACUGGAAUUCCAGGUGUAGCGGUGAAAUGCGUAGAUAUCUGGAGGAACACCGGUGGCGAAGGCGGCAUCCUGGACCGGCAUUGACGCUGAGGCGCGAAAGCCAGGGG
rnacentral:rRNA from 1 species